rnacentral:tRNA from 1 species
GGCAAGGUGGCCGAGUGGUUAAGGCGUUUGACUUGAAUUGGUGCUGUAAGGCCGGAGGCUAUGCCGGUCUUGUCUUCAUCGCGAGAUCAAAUUCUUUCGAGAUCCAGGGUUCAAAUCCCUGCCUUGUCG